AUCCCAAACAGCCAGGCUGGGAUGGUGAACUAUAAUUUAUAUCAUUUUUCAUAUGGGUUAUAGGCUCCAAAGGCUUAGACUCCUUCAAAUGGGAACCACAUUGAAGAAGGGGUAAACCAAUGUUAAGAAAUCUGGUCCCAGGAAGCCACCUGCUUCUCAUUUGGGAUGUUCCUGGGUUUAUUGUUUGUUUCCAAGGCCCAGCUGGAUUUGAGAGAUGGCAGGGCAGCCAUGGAUCACUGCCCUUGCCAGGCGUCCAUGCUGAGGCUGGGGUGAGCCUCCACUCUGAGUGCUCGGAGCCUCUGGCGUGCCUGCACGUGGAGCUCUGUGGGGGAAGCUGUGUGGGAGCACGCUCUCUUUGUACUCGCAUGUCCCCAUGGAGCAAAGCCAGCUGGAGACAACCGAGUCUGAGCAAAGCCCCACGGCCUGUGGGAGGCCUGGUGCCCCAGGCUGGUUCGGGGGAGCAGGAUCUCUGCGCCUCCCCCAGCCACUGCUUCUUGCAAACUGAGAGGCAGGGCAGCAAACAGCCCAGGAAGCUGGCUGCAGUGAAGAUGAAUGAACCGAAGCUCCUCACGACAACAUGGAUGGAUCUUAAGCACAUGGUGUUGAGUGAAAGAAUACAAAUGAUGGACUCCAUUCAUACAUGGUCCCAAACCAGGAAUCCCAGAGAUCCCCAGCAUGCAAAGCAGAGGGAUUAGAAAUGGCUUGGAUCAUACAAACUGAGGCUUGAAUCUGGUUAACCAGCUGUGUGACUUUUGCCUCCUGCACUUAAUAGCCUGGGGCUUUGGAUGGGAUGGUGCCCUGUAGAGGCCGUCUGGUCCAGCCCUCUGCCUCAGGAAUGAACAUACAUGGCCACCAUGGAGGAAAGGCCAUGUCUUGAAUCCUUUGAAGACUGCCAUGCUGCAAGAACUCCCAGCCUGGGUCUGGAAUCCCUCCCCCACAACACAGCUCCUCCUUGGACCUGAAUCCCACUGGGUACCAGGGUGGAGAAAGCAUUGUUCUUCUGCAGGUUUCUUGAGAAAGAGGAGCCAAUAGUUCUCCCACUGCUAAGUGGUUGGGGUUAAGGUUGCUACAGACGCCUUACAGGUGCCCUGGUGACUAUGAGCCAGGGUGGGACCUCUGGCAUCUGAUGUCUACCCAGGCUCUGUGCUGACACCAGCUUACAGGACACCCCCAGCUCAGUAUGCUUGCCUCUGGAGUUAAUUUCCUUUCUCAAAUCAGAUUAACUUCAAAGUUUUUAUUCAUUCUUUUAAAUUGACUUAAUGAUUCAUUCUUCCUAAUUAACAGAUAUUGGAAAAGAAAAGAAACAGUAUGGUUAGAACUAGAGUUCUCGCAUUCCACGCCCCUCCCUAGAGGGUAUCAGUCUUUUUCAAUUCAUUUUCAUUUAUAUGUGUAUAAAUACACAGACAGAUAAUUUUGUUUGGUGUAUGUUGGAUGGUUUUUAAGGUUUUUUUUUUAUUGAAAUAC
ensembl:lncRNA